rnacentral:rRNA from 1 species
GGGUUGUGAGGUUAAGCGACUAAGCGUACACGGUGGAUGCCCUGGCAGUCAGAGGCGAUGAAGGACGUGCUAAUCUGCGAAAAGCGCCGGCGAGGUGAUAUGAACCCUUGACCCGGCGAUGUCCGAAUGGGGAAACCCAGUGCAAUCCGUUGCACUAUCGUUAACUGAAUACAUAGGUUAACGAGGCGAACCGGGGGAACUGAAACAUCUAAGUACCCCGAGGAAAAGAAAUCAACCGAGAUUCCCCCAGUAGCGGCGAGCGAACGGGGAGCAGCCCGGAGUCUGAAUCAGCUUGUGUGUUAGUGGAACGGUCUGGAAAGUCCGACGGUACAGGGUGAUAGUCCCGUACACGAAAGCACACAUGCUGUGAACUCGAAGAGUAGGGCGGGACACGUGGUAUCCUGUCUGAAUAUGGGGGGACCAUCCUCCAAGGCUAAAUACUCCUGACUGACCGAUAGUGAACCAGUACCGUGAGGGAAAGGCGAAAAGAACCCCGGCGAGGGGAGUGAAAAAGAACCUGAAACCGUGUACGUACAAGCAGUGGGAGCCUCUUUAUGGGGUGACUGCGUACCUUUUGUAUAAUGGGUCAGCGACUUAUAUUCUGUAGCAAGGUUAACCGUAUAGGGGAGCCGAAGGGAAACCGAGUCUUAACUGGGCGUUAAGUUGCAGGGUAUAGACCCGAAACCCGGUGAUCUAGCCAUGGGCAGGUUGAAGGUUGGGUAACACUAACUGGAGGACCGAACCGACUAAUGUUGAAAAAUUAGCGGAUGACCUGUGGCUGGGGGUGAAAGGCCAAUCAAACCGGGAGAUAGCUGGUUCUCCCCGAAAGCUAUUUAGGUAGCGCCUCGUGAACUCAUCUUCGGGGGUAGAGCACUGUUUCGGCUAGGGGGCCAUCCCGGCUUACCAACCCGAUGCAAACUACGAAUACCGAAGAAUGUUAUCACGGGAGACACACGGCGGGUGCUAACGUCCGUCGUGAAGAGGGAAACAACCCAGACCGCCAGCUAAGGUCCCAAAGUCAUGGUUAAGUGGGAAACGAUGUGGGAAGGCACAGACAGCCAGGAUGUUGGCUUAGAAGCAGCCAUCAUUUAAAGAAAGCGUAAUAGCUCACUGGUCGAGUCGGCCUGCGCGGAAGAUGUAACGGGGCUAAACCAUGCACCGAAGCUGCGGCAGCGACACUAUGUGUUGUUGGGUAGGGGAGCGUUCUGUAAGCCGUUGAAGGUGUGCUGUGAGGCAUGCUGGAGGUAUCAGAAGUGCGAAUGCUGACAUAAGUAACGAUAAAGCGGGUGAAAAGCCCGCUCGCCGGAAGACCAAGGGUUCCUGUCCAACGUUAAUCGGGGCAGGGUGAGUCGACCCCUAAGGCGAGGCCGAAAGGCGUAGUCGAUGGGAAACAGGUUAAUAUUCCUGUACUUGGUGUUACUGCGAAGGGGGGACGGAGAAGGCUAUGUCAGCCGGGCGACGGUUGUCCCGGUUUAAGCAUGUAGGCGGAGGUUCCAGUAAAAUCCGGUACCUUAUUAACGCUGAGGUGUGAUGACGAGGCACUACGGUGCUGAAGUGAUAAAUGCCCUGCUUCCGGGAAAAGCCUCUAAGCAUCAGGUAACACGAAAUCGUACCCCAAACCGACACAGGUGGUCAGGUAGAGAAUACCAAGGCGCUUGAGAGAACUCGGGUGAAGGAACUAGGCAAAAUGGUGCCGUAACUUCGGGAGAAGGCACGCUGAUGUGUAGGUGAAGCCCCUGCGGGCGGAGCUGAAAUCAGUCGAAGAUACCAGCUGGCUGCAACUGUUUAUUAAAAACACAGCACUGUGCAAACACGAAAGUGGACGUAUACGGUGUGACGCCUGCCCGGUGCCGGAAGGUUAAUUGAUGGGGUUAGCGGCAACGCGAAGCUCUUGAUCGAAGCCCCGGUAAACGGCGGCCGUAACUAUAACGGUCCUAAGGUAGCGAAAUUCCUUGUCGGGUAAGUUCCGACCUGCACGAAUGGCGUAAUGAUGGCGAGGCUGUCUCCACCCGAGACUCAGUGAAAUUGAACUCGCUGUGAAGAUGCAGUGUACCCGCGGCAAGACGGAAAGACCCCGUGAACCUUUACUAUAGCUUGACACUGAACACUGGUCCUUGAUGUGUAGGAUAGGUGGGAGGCUUUGAAGCGUGGACGCCAGUCUGCGUGGAGCCAACCUUGAAAUACCACCCUUUAAUGGCUGGUGUUCUAACGUAGACCCGUAAUCCGGGUUGCGGACAGUGUCUGGUGGGUAGUUUGACUGGGGCGGUCUCCUCCCAAAGAGUAACGGAGGAGCACGAAGGUUGGCUAAUCCUGGUCGGACAUCAGGAGGUUAGUGCAAUGGCAUAAGCCAGCUUGACUGCGAGCGUGACGGCGCGAGCAGGUGCGAAAGCAGGUCAUAGUGAUCCGGUGGUUCUGAAUGGAAGGGCCAUCGCUCAACGGAUAAAAGGUACUCCGGGGAUAACAGGCUGAUACCGCCCAAGAGUUCAUAUCGACGGCGGUGUUUGGCACCUCGAUGUCGGCUCAUCACAUCCCGGGGCUGAAGUAGGUCCCAAGGGUAUGGCUGUUCGCCAUUUAAAGUGGUACGCGAGCUGGGUUUAGAACGUCGUGAGACAGUUCGGUCCCCAUCUGCCGUGGGCGCUGGAGAAUUGAGGGGGGCUGCUCCUAGUACGAGAGGACCGGAGUGGACGCAUCACUGGUGUUCGGGUUGUCAUGCCAAUGGCACUGCCCGGUAGCUAAAUGCGGAAGAGAUAAGUGCUGAAAGCAUCUAAGCACGAAACUUGCCCCGAGAUGAGUUCUCCCUGAGACUUUAAGUCUCCUGAAGGAACGUUGAAGACGACGACGUUGAUAGGUCGGGUGUGUAAGCGCAGCGAUGCGUUGAGCUAACCGAUACUAAUGAACCGUGAGGCUUAACCUUACAACGCCGAAGGUGUUU